rnacentral:rRNA from 1 species
AGAGUUUGAUCCUGGCUCAGAUUGAACGCUGGCGGCAGGCCUAACACAUGCAAGUCGAGCGGAAACGACACCUUCGGGUGGGCGUCGAGCGGCGGACGGGUGAGUAACGCGUAGGAAUCUGCCCAACGGUGGGGGAUAACCCGGGGAAACUCGGGCUAAUACCGCAUAAUCCUUACGAGGCAAAGCGGAGGACCCUUCGGGGCUUCGCGCCGAUGGAUGAGCCUACGUCUGAUUAGCUUGUUGGUGGGGUAACGGCCUACCAAGGCGACGAUCAGUAGCUGGUCUGAGAGGAUGAUCAGCCACACCGGGACUGAGACACGGCCCGGACUCCUACGGGAGGCAGCAGUGGGGAAUAUUGGACAAUGGGGGAAACCCUGAUCCAGCCAUGCCGCGUGUGUGAAGAAGGCCCUAGGGUUGUAAAGCACUUUAAGCAGGGAAGAAAAGCGCCGGGUUAAUACCCCGAGCGUCUUGACGGUACCUGCAGAAUAAGCACCGGCUAAUUCCGUGCCAGCAGCCGCGGUAAUACGGAAGGUGCAAGCGUUAAUCGGAAUUACUGGGCGUAAAGCGUGCGUAGGCGGUCGCGUGUGUCGGAUGUGAAAGCCCCGGGCUCAACCUGGGAAUUGCAUUCGAAACUGCGUGACUCGAGUGUGGUAGAGGAAGACGGAAUUCCACGUGUAGCGGUGAAAUGCGUAGAUAUGUGGAGGAACACCGAUGGCGAAGGCAGUCUUCUGGGCCAACACUGACGCUGAGGCACGAAAGCGUGGGUAGCGAACAGGAUUAGAUACCCUGGUAGUCCACGCCGUAAACGAUGAGAACUAGACGUUGGUCUGCAUAGCGGAUCAGUGUCGCAGCUAACGCGUUAAGUUCUCCGCCUGGGGAGUACGGCCGCAAGGUUGAAACUCAAAGGAAUUGACGGGGGCCCGCACAAGCGGUGGAGCAUGUGGUUUAAUUCGAUGCAACGCGAAGAACCUUACCUGCCCUUGACAUCAUGUCGCGACCCUGGAGACAGGGUUUUCAGUUCGGCUGGACAUUGACAGGUGCUGCAUGGCUGUCGUCAGCUCGUGUCGUGAGAUGUUGGGUUAAGUCCCGCAACGAGCGCAACCCCUAUCCUUAGUUGCCAGCAGUUCGGCUGGGCACUCUAAGGAGACUGCCGGUGACAAACCGGAGGAAGGUGGGGAUGACGUCAAGUCAUCAUGGCCCUUAUGGGCAGGGCUACACACGUGCUACAAUGGCAAGUACAAAGGGUUGCGAAGCCGCGAGGUGUAGCUAAUCCCAUAAAGCUUGUCGUAGUCCGGAUUGCAGUCUGCAACUCGACUGCAUGAAGUCGGAAUCGCUAGUAAUCGUGGAUCAGCAAUGCCACGGUGAAUACGUUCCCGGGCCUUGUACACACCGCCCGUCACACCAUGGAAGUCGGCUGCACCAGAAGCCGGUAGCCUAACCCUCGGGAGGGCGCCGUCCACGGUGUGGUCGAUGACUGGGGUGAAGUCGUAACAAGGUA